UCCAGACUCCUACGGGAGGCAGCAGUGAGGAAUAUUGGCCAAUGGGCGAGAGCCUGAACCAGCCAAGUCGCGUGAGGGAAGACGGUCCUAUGGAUUGUAAACCUCUUUUGCCGGGGAGCAAAAAGCGGUACGUGUACCGCAUCGAGAGUACCCGGAGAAAAAGCAUCGGCUAACUCCGUGCCAGCAGCCGCGGUAAUACGGAGGAUGCGAGCGUUAUCCGGAUUUAUUGGGUUUAAAGGGUGCGUAGGCGGGAUGCCAAGUCAGCGGUAAAAAUGCGGUGCUCAACGCCGUCGAGCCGUUGAAACUGGCGUUCUUGAGUGGGCGAGAAGUAUGCGGAAUGCGCGGUGUAGCGGUGAAAUGCAUAGAUAUCGCGCAGAACUCCGAUUGCGAAGGCAGCGUACCGGCGCCAGACUGACGCUGAGGCACGAAAGCGUGGGGAUCGAACAGGAUUAGAUACCCCCGUACA
rnacentral:rRNA from 1 species